rnacentral:rRNA from 1 species
UACGUAGGGUGCGAGCGUUGUCCGGAAUUAUUGGGCGUAAAGAGCUCGUAGGCGGCUUGUCGCGUCGGAUGUGAAAGCCCGGGCUUAACUCCGGGUCUGCAUUCGAUACGGGCAGGCUAGAGUUCGGUAGGGGAGAUCGGAAUUCCUGGUGUAGCGGUGAAAUGCGCAGAUAUCAGGAGGAACACCGGUGGCGAAGGCGGAUCUCUGGGCCGAUACUGACGCUGAGGAGCGAAAGCGUGGGAGCGAACAGG